GACGAACGCUGGCGGCGUGCUUAACACUUGCAAGUCGAACGGAAAGGCCCUGCUUGCAGGGUGCUCGAGUGGCGAACGGGUGAGUAACACGUGGGUGAUCUGCCCCUUACUUUGGGAUAAGCCUGGGAAACUGGGUCUAAUACUGGAUAGGACCAUGCUGUAGGUGGUGUGGUGGAAAGAUUAGCUUCGGUAAGGGAUGAGCUCGCGGCCUAUCAGCUUGUUGGUGGGGUAAUGGCCUACCAAGGCGUCGACGGGUAGCCGGCCUGAGAGGGUGGACGGCCACAUUGGGACUGAGAUACGGCCCAGACUCCUACGGGAGGCAGCAAUGGGGAAUAUUGCACAAUGGGCGCAAGCCUGAUGCAGCGACGCCGCGUGGGGGAUGACGGCCUUCGGGUUGUAAACUCCUUUCAGCCAUGACGAAGCCCUUGUGGUGACGGUAGUGGUAGAAGAAGCACCGGCUAACUACGUG
rnacentral:rRNA from 1 species